rnacentral:rRNA from 1 species
AGUAAAAAAUUUAUUUUAAUUUAUUAAUAGAAAUAUAUUUAUAUUUAAGUAAUUAUUUGAAUUAUUCAGGUUUGUUAUAGGUAAUUUGUAUUGUUAAAGAAGUUAUUUAAUGAAAUUAAAUGUAAGAAUUUUUAAAUUUAAGUACCUUGUGUAUCAGGGUUUUAUAAAAUGUGAUUUGUAUGGAGAUUUCUCGAGUUACGAAGAGUUAUUAAUUUAUAUAUUUAGUUGUUGAAUAAGUUUUUUAAAUAAAUUAAUAGUAAUGAAAUGUUAUACGUUUUUUAGGAUAUCUAGUUUUUUAAGAAAUAGAUUUAAUUUAUUUAUUUGAAUUUAUAUUUUUUAAUUUUUAGUUAUAUAAUUUGAUUAUUAAGUAGUUUAUGGGAUUAGCUUUAAAUUAGAGUUUUAUAAAUUUUUUUAUAAAAGAAAAUUUAAUGGAAUUAGUGUUAUUUAGAGUAAUAUGUUACAAUUAUCUUUUUUUUUAUAAGAUUUUUUAUUAUUUUACUUUUUAUAUUAAAAUAAUUAAUUUAGUAGGGUAUUUUUUGAAAUUAUGUUUUGAUUAGUAAUAUUGUUAUAAUUAAUUAUAAUAAAAAGUUAGGUUAGAUUAAGGAAUUCGGCAAAUAUAUUCUUCGCCUGUUUAAUAAAAACAUGUCUUUUUGAGUAUAAUUUAAAGUCUAAUCUGCCCAAUGAUCAUUUAAAUGGCCGCGGUAUUUUGACCGUGCAAAGGUAGCAUAAUCAUUAGUUUUUUAAUUGGAAGCUGGAAUGAACGAUUGGACGAGAGAAUAGCUGUCUUUGUUUAAUUAGGGUGAAUUUUAUUUUUUGGUAAAAAAGCUUAAAUUGUUUUAAUAGACGAGAAGACCCUAUAGAGUUUUAUAUUUAUUAACAUAUUUAUUUUGAAGAAAAUUUUUAUGAGUAUUUAUUAGGUAUUUUGUUGGGGCGAUAGAAAAAUUGAAGGAACUUUUUUUUAUUAAAAUCAUUUAUAAAUGUUUAAAUGAUCCUUGUUUUAUGAUUAAAAGAUUAAAUUACCUUAGGGAUAACAGCGUAAUUUUUUUUUAGAGUUCAAAUCGAAAAAAGAGUUUGCGACCUCGAUGUUGGAUUAAAAUUAACUUUUGGUGUAGGGGCUUUUGGGUUAGGUCUGUUCGACCUUUAAAAUUUUACAUGAUCUGAGUUUAAACCGGCGUGAGCCAGGUUGGUUUCUAUCUUUAGGUAAUAAUUGGUAUUUUAGUACGAAAGGAUUGAUUAUUGGUAAUAUUUAUUUGUACUGGGCGUUAAA